UAAUACGGAGGGUGCGAGCGUUGUCCGGAAUCACUGGGCGUAAAGGGCGCGUAGGUGGCUUGGCAAGCGUGCGGUGAAAGCCCGGGGCUCAACCCCGGGUCGGCCGUGCGGACUGCUAUGGCUUGAGCACUGUAGAGGCAGGUAGAAUUCCGGGUGUAGCGGUGGAAUGCGUAGAGAUCCGGAAGAAUACCGGUGGCGAAGGCGGCCUGCUGGGCAGUGGCUGACACUGAGGCGCGACAGCGUGGGGAGCAAACAGGAUUAGAUACCCUGGUAGUCCACGCCGUAAACGAUGGGCACUAGGUGCUUGGGGGAGCGACCCUCUGAGUGCCGUCGCUAACGCAGUAAGUGCCCCGCCUGGGGAGUACGGCCGCAAGGCUG
rnacentral:rRNA from 1 species